ensembl:lncRNA
UCCUUAGAUAUGUAUAGUGCUUUUCUAGGCAUUCAAAGCGCUUUACAUUGUAUGGGGGAAAUCUCCUCAACCACCAUCACUGGGUAGCAUCCACCUGGAUGAAACGACGGCAGCCAUAGUGCACCAGAACGCCUACCACACACCAGCUGUUGUUGAAUGUUGGUAUUUGAUGGUGUAUGUUGUUGAAUGUUGGUAUUUGAUGGUGUAUGUUGUUGAAUGUUGGUAUUUGAUGGUGUAUGUUGUUGAAUGUUGGUAUUUGAUAGUGAAUGUUUUUGAAGGUUGGUAUUUGAUGGUGUAUGUUGUUAUAUGAUGGUGAAUGUUUUUGAAUGUUGGUAUUUGUUGGUGAACGUUGUUGAAUGUCGGUGUAUGUUGGUGAAUGUUGGUAUUUGAUGGUGAAUGUUGGUAUUUGAUGGUAAAUGUUGAAUGUUGGUGUAUGUUGAAUGUUGGUAUUUGUUGGUGAACGUUGUUGAAUGUCGGUGUAUGUUGGUGAAUGUUGGUAUUUGAUGGUGAAUGUUGGUAUUUGAUGGUAAAUGUUGAAUGUUGGUGUAUGUUGAAUGUUGGUAUUUAAUAAUGAAUGUUGUUGAAUGUUGGUAUUUGAUGUUGAAUGUUGAUAUUUGAUGGUGUAUGUUGUUGAAUGUUGGUAUUUGAUAGUGAAUGUUGUUGAAGGUUGGUAUUUGAUGGUGUAUGUUGUUGAAUGUUGGUAUUUGAUAGUGAAUGUUGUUGAAGGUUGGUAUUUGAUGGUGUAUGUUGUUGAAGGUUGGUAUUUGUUGAUGUUGAAUGUUGGUAUUUGAUGGUGUAUGUUGGUGUUGAUGGUGUAUGUUGUUGAAGGUUGGUAUUUGAUGGUGUAUGUUGUUGAAUGUUGUUAUAUGAUGGUGUAUGUUGUUGAAGUUUGGUAUUUGAUGGUGUAUGUUGAAUGUUGGUAUUUGAUAGUGAAUGUUGAAGGUUGGUAUUUGAUGUUGUUGAAUGUUGGUAUUUGAUGGUGUAUGUUGGUGUUGAUGGUGUAUGUUGUUGAAGGUUGGUAUUUGAUGGUGUAUGUUGUUGAAUGUUUGUGUUUGAUGGAGAAUGUUGGUGUUGAUGGUGAAUGUUGUUGAAUGUUGGUAUUUGAUGGUAUAUGUUGUUGAAUGUUGGUAUUUGAUGGUAUAUGUUGUUGAAUGUCGGUGUAUGUUGAAUAUUGGUAUUUGAUGGUGAAUGCUGUUGAAUGUUUGUGUUUGAUGGAGAAUGUUGAAUGUGUGUGUUUGUUGAAUGUUGGUGUAUGUUGUUGAAUGUUGGUGAGUGUUGGUGAAUGUCGGUGUUGGUGAAUGUUGGUGUUUGUUGGAGAAUGUUGGUGUUUGAUGGAGAAUGUUGUGGGUGGUGUUGCUGACUAGCUGCAUUUCUAUUCUGACUGUGUUCAGGUGGAAUAGAGAGAAAAAUGGAGAAGUGCUUUGCUUUUAUAGAAAAGCCUGCAGGUGAGGCUUUUUGGUCGUCAUUGAUUUAUUCAAAGUUGAGCUAUGAUCCCUGAAGCAUUUUGGCUGUAGACUUACUCACUUGACAUUGAUCCUACAGUAAACACAUCCUACUGUACACUUCGUUAUUUUAUGUACUACAUGGAACAUUCGCUGGCACAGGCUGGGCAAUUUUUCUGCACUAGUGUAUGCUAUGAUCUUCAUAGGGAUAGGGGGAUGAUACAUAUAUAGAUCUGAAGAGACUGAGGAGGAUAUGUACAUGUUUUUUUUUGUUGUUGUUUUUUUUUUUACCCGACUUUACAC